UGCCAGCCGCCGCGGUAAUACUGAAGGUGCAAGCGUUAAUCGGAAUCACUGGGCGUAAAGCGCGCGUAGGCGGAUUGGUAAGUUGGAGGUGAAAUCCCGGGGCUCAACCCCGGAACUGCCUUCAAAACUGCCAGUCUUGAGUUCGGGAGAGGUGAGUGGAAUUCCUAGUGUAGAGGUGAAAUUCGUAGAUAUUAGGAAGAACACCAGUGGCGAAGGCGACUCACUGGCCCGAUACUGACGCUGAGGCGCGAAAGCGUGGGGAGCAAACAGGAUUAGAUA
rnacentral:rRNA from 1 species